UGGAAAGAUUUUAAAUCAACAGAAUGCACUUCGAUUUCAUCAUCGAUCAAGCUCAGUAAGAAAUGAGUUGGUAAGACUGAGACUCGAAAAGUAUAAAUGUCCCGACUAUACUAAAUAUCGAUUAGUGUAAUAAACACGUGAGUUCACCGCCAACGCGAAGAGCUACGUACUCCACAAUGGACUGAAACUUUCCCGAGUGGCACCGAGAAGGCGCGACUACUGCAUCAACAAAUACUAAACGGACAGGAUAUCUGCACUUUAAACUACGAGAGGACUGGACAGGAACAAUGAACUUCAACUGAAUGACAAGCAAGAUGAUUACUCGAAGUUCGUAUUCUUGCGGCUUUGGAGGGGUUAUGUCCACCGGAACGGGGAGGGGCAUCUCUCCCACUGGGAAAAUGUCUACCCACAUCUGCAGCUUCCCCUGCAUCACACGAGCAACACUUCAAAAGUUAAGACGACGUGGAACUUCACUGGGCAUGCCUGCUUAGUUUCCGAAAGUUCCCGAUAUUUUAUAAAAUAAUCUGUCUGGAGGCGGUAGUAUAUCCACCUCCCGAAACGUCUAUAUAAAAUAUCCGACAUAACCACUUUCAUUAAUCUUUAAGAGAGUUGUGGAACGAUGUCACGAGCCAAUAAAGAAGCUGUUGGGCCACUGAGA